rnacentral:rRNA from 1 species
ACUCAAAUGAAUUGACGGGGACCCGCACAAGCAGCGGAGCGUGUGGUUUAAUUCGAUGCUACACGAAGAACCUCACCCAGGUUUGACAUACUAGUAGUAAUGAACCGAAAGGGGAAUGACCCGCAAGGGAGCUAGUACAGGUGUUGCAUGGCUGUCGUCAGCUCGUGUCGUGAGAUGUUCGUUUAAGUACGCUAACGAGCGCAACCCUUACUGCCAGUUACAAGUGUCUGGCGGGACUGCCGGCCACAAGCCGGAGGAAGGCGGGGAUGAUGUCAAGUCAGCAUGGCCUUUAUAUCUGGGGCUACACACACGCUACAAUGGGACGGUACAAUGGGUCGCCAAGCCGCGAGGCGGAGCCAAUCUCCAAAACGUCCCUCAGUUCAGAUUGCAGGCUGCAACCCGCCUGCAUGAAGUCGGAGUUGCUAGUAAAUGCGCGUCAGCUAUAGCGCAUUGAAUACGUUCCCGGGUCUUGUACACACCGCCCGU